GUUUUUUUCUCUCUCGCCCACGUCUCUCCAUCUUUCUUUUUUCCCUUUCCGAACGAUUCUUCUUCUCGCAGCCACCACCGCGCCAACCCCGGCCGGCACCACCGCGCCACCACCGGCCGGCACCACCACGCCACCAUCGCGCCAACCUCGCCACCACCAGUACCCUUAUCUCUAUUUGUCGCUGAAUUUAAAUCAUAUCAAGGACCGGCCAUCGCCGCUACCACCGCGAUACAACCAGUCUCUCUACAAGUCGGGAGAUUGAGUAACUUCAGACUUGGAUUGUGUUUAAAGAAUAAGGCUAUGAUGAAAUUGAUGGCACAUUGUAAUGAGAAGAGUUUUGAGGUUGAGGAUUCUAUUCUUUGACCUUUCCUUCUUUGCUUCGAUAAGUAAACAGAAAAACCCUUGAAGUACUUUACCAAGAUAUAAUGAACUUAAAAGGAGUACUCUAAUUUCGGUAAGCAGUCUCUGAAGAGAAGAUUCAUCUGCUUAUUUUGAUAAACUAUUGGAGCACUUGUUAUCGAAGAACCUAAUUGAGUUAUACGGUUGAGUAACAUUGUAUUGAUGAUUUUCGACUACGGGAGACUUGAGAAUUAGUUAGACAUAAAAUUAAUUAGUUUUGUUUGUUGACUGCAUGAUAUGAAAUUAUAGUACUGUUUGAUAGUUUUGUAUUUCAUAAUUUUUCGUUUAUUUAAAAUUUUAUUGGAUCGAAAUUUAUUGGAAGUAUGACUUCUCUGCAUAUUUGAUCAUGAUUAUAUGAAAAUAUUUUUUUUUCUAAUAAUAAGCUAUUCGACAAGGUGCAGUUGAAUGUUGUCAAAACUCUACAGCAAGAUACCACAGUGGCUUGUUAUAAGGUCUGUAACAACAUACAACAGCAGCUUGUGAAUACCUUACCACAACAUAAUGUGCUUGUUGCUACAAUGUGAACCACAACGUGCAACGCAACUCGCAAUGCACGUUGUUAAAUUCCGAAGGCUUUAACCACAUAUUGGUCUACAACAUUCACAUGCGCGUUGUCUAUCUAGUUUAACAACGUGUGUUGCAUGUUGUCAAAUGGUCUUUUUCUUGUAGUGCUGGUUCUGCCCGUGUCUAUGAUACCACCUGUGACGUCUAAUUCUACUAUCAAAAUAAAAGGACAUGCAUCAAAGCGACGAGCAAUUGAAGAUCUUGUAUAGUUCUACCAAUUGAAAAUCAUAAGUAUUUUGGAGGCAACUCCCACUAAAAAUGUACGGAUUCCUGAACAAAUAGCUAAUUGUAUGACUAUUUUUUUUAUAUUAAAGUUGUGUUUUCUUUUUUGUCCAUAGACGUAUUAGAUAUGCAUUGAAACGAAUAAUUGGUAAUAUGAGUGGUCUUA